UUUGCUUAUUAGCAUAAAACUUAUCGUCAUUUGUUUUCGUUCAGUUUUUUUCGAAACAAAAAACGAGGAGGAAGAGGAAUUUGAUUAGUUUAUAAACUUAUAAUUUCGUUGUUCCAUUGUGUGAACGUGUGCUCACUGUGCUGAAGUAUAUUUGCCUAAAUGACGUUGAUAAUUCGACGUAAAUUCUUGAUGUCAAGUAUGUUGUAGCCAAGUAAAUUCAUGUAUGUCGAAGAAAAUAAUCUGAAAGAGGAAACAAUUAACAGAAAAUUGUACCUCGUUCACAGCACGUGGUCGCCUAUAGUGGCUAUAUAAUAUCUUUAACAUUUGAUGUUAAUGGCAAGCGGAAGCUGAGUUACCUAGGGAGUAGAGAGUCUACGUUUCGCUGCUGAGGACGGAUGUUUGUUUCCAAGCUCCACAAUGCUAGGUGACGAGAAGAGUGCAGGGCGUUAUUCUUCGGUGGAUCCCAUCAUAUUUGAAUUCCAGCAUCUCCCAUUAGCUAGCUUUUUUCGUAUAAGGCUGGAGGCCUGGAACCUUUCCACAUCCAUCUAAUAAUUGUCAUCCUCAUAUUCUGAUGGGAGUCCAGUCCAAUAGGUGACAAAAUGUCCGCGAUCCACCAGUGCUUCCACCACUGUUUUGAAAUAAUUGUCGUGGCUGUAAGUCGUGAUGGGCGACAAGACUAGAAUUCUGUGAGCAGAUGAAGCAGGAAAUUCGGUGAACAGCAGUUAAAUUCACAGGUGUAGAUUGAAAGAAAGUGAACAUCAGCCAGGUUUCGUUCUCAGCUUCUUGCCUUCAUCCUGCCUUUCCAACUUUCCCUGAAAACCAGUUCAAGUUUUCCCGGUUUUCCAUUUAUUCCUAUACGAGAAGGCCAUCUAGCGUUCAAAAUCGACACUAGUUUCUAAAAAUUGAGCUUUACUAGACUUUGCAGCAUUUUUAAAUUCAUCAAAGCAAACUUCACCUGAUUUAUUCUUUACUUAAUGAAUUGGAGACAACGGAAAUAACUAUCGGGAUAAAAUGGAAGAGCAGCGUUCCUCAUGAAUAAUUCUAGAGAGCUGGUCCUGAAUCCUGCUGCAUGUCAAUUUUUGUCGAGCAGCUGCAUGAUGUAGAGCGAAAAGGAUCACGAGAUUAUUCCGGAUAAGAGACUCGUUCGUAGGCGUCGCCAAUAACUUCUUACCAAAUUGAAUAGAGCCAAUUGUCAAAAGAGGAGAACAGUUUGGUGUAUCCGAUCGAAGUUUGGCGCCCUGUGGAGUGUCUGCAGUUGAGACCCGUGUAAGGUCGUGCCCUCAUUGCAGUUUACAUCGUGAUAUUUCAAAUUGUCUCGGCAAGCAACCUCUCCGAAACACGAAAAUUGCAUGUUAUUAUCAAGGAAUAUCAGCAAUUGAUUUCCCGUACACUUUGUGCGUGGGCGAGUUGACAGCCUCUUGUGAGGCCGUUCAGCCGAAUUCGAGUGAAAAAUGAUGAGAUCUUGAAAAACAUUCGACGCCAAAGGAGUUGUGUGACCAAUUUUUGUAUUUUGGUUCAAGAAUUGAAUCGACAAGUGGGUGAUUCUGCAAUGUGCAGAUGUGUGUGUGUGUGUACAAUGUGAACUCAUCCGUGACUGGGCGAAAUGGCAGUCAACAACUCUCCCUGCGCCAUCCCAAAAACUCGCCAAAGGAAAAGUGAACCGUGACGAAGUGAUUUACGUUCGUCUCGGAAGUUAUUAAAAGUGACGAGAAAAGGCAGAAGGAGAUGAAGUUAAGAAAGUUGCGGCUGCUUUCGUCUAGUUCAACAAACGACUUUUUUUUUACUGUCCAUCGGCGAAUGUUUGGCGCCGAAUGUCGGUCACACUUUUUUGUACAUUUGCGCGAGGUUAUUGAAGAUUGGAAUCCCAUUCGGAGUACUUUGUGUAAUGUUAUCCGUCACAUAAAAAUAGUCCAAAUGAUGGUAUGUUACACAGUCAUAAUAACUGUAACGGUUUUUUUCUUUUGGCUUCCUCCGCUUCGGUAAUAAUCAAAUUGCGAUGGGUUAUUAGGAUAGGGUAACGCCCAUCCAGUGAAUGUUACAUUUUUUAAAAACAACAUUUUACUUCCAUAAUAUCCUUUCGACCGUAUUUUUUGAUGGGCCACCAAGUUUCCUGCCGCUGUCAAAUUUCCAGAGUCGUUAAAAAAAGAUAUGAACUCGUUCAUUGGAUUCUAGGCAAAUCUCGUAAUCACGUGAUCAGGCGAGUUCAGGGAAGACAUAAAAAAAAAACUGCGAACAAUUUCCAAAAAAGAAAAGAAAAAAGAAAUUGAAAAAAUAAAAGACUAAAAGGAGAAAGAUGAUGUUAAUGCGCUCGGAUGCACGGCUUGAUGACCGCCAGUUCCUCAUUUUCAAGUAUUCCAUUGUGUUUCUCUUUCCAGAACGAAGGUGGCCCAGAUCACGCACUGUGCACAGUAGAGCACACACACACACACACACACACACGCAGAGAGUCGCUCCGAUGAUUUUCCUCCAGACCGACAAAAAAAUGGCGAAUUAAAAUUAGAGAAA